AAGAAUCCGCCAUUUUAGCGUCUGAAUUUAGCGUCCGACAGUAUAAGUGGACGGUAAAUUCAAAAUUAGCGUCUGAUAUAUAACAGAUGCAAAUUAGCGACUGCUUUCUUGUUUUUAGCGUCUGUUUACAAAAACGGACACUAAUUAGCGUCCGUUUACAAAAACGGACACUAAUUAGCGUCCGUUUAGUAAAAUUAGCGUCCGUUUGGCAGACGCUAAUUUAUUGGUCUUACCAAUAUCAAUCGACCGCUCCCUCAAACCUUCCAAUUGUCCUAAACAAGAAAUAAAAUCCUCUCUUCACCGCUCUCUCUCACCUCAAUUCUUUCCUCUGUCUAACUCUUCAUUUUCCUCAGAUGUGGUAUUUCGUUAUUUCUCUCGUUUAGAUCUGGUAUUUGGUUGUGGUUAGGGUUUUUUUUUUGGUUAUUUCUCUGAGCAUCGCCGUCUUCAAGCAUCACCGCCUCUUCUUUAUCAGUUGAAGUGAGAAGUAAGAAAGUGUGUUAAAGGAGGAAGAACAGAAUGAUUUACAGAAAGUGGAGCCUGCUGAGCAGCACUAGGGUGAUCGCUGGUGGCAUCGUCGGUGCGGUUUUCCUCGACAACCUCCUCUUUGUGAAUAAAGGAGGUAGUAAUGAUGCACUAGCCUGAUUCCGAAUCUUAAUUCCAGCAAGGUCAGAAAAGUUAUCCACUGCAUCCAGAGUUAGCUGAGAGUAUGUAUUGGCUUUACAAAGCUCUACCAGCGAUACCAGGUUUGUACAUAGAAAUAUUCCCAUAUUCAGUGUCAUUAUUGAUCAAGAAAAUAGUGGUCUUUUCUCUUUUGUUUUACAAUUGGCACAAGUCCGGAUUCCUUUUCCCCACUUUACAAUUGGCACAAGAAGUAACAUUGAAUAUAUCAUCUGUGUUUGCCUCUUUUAGAGAUUUGUAGUAGGUUUGCUUGUCAUUUGGCUGUAUAGUUA